rnacentral:rRNA from 1 species
AUUGAACGCUGGCGGCAUGCCUUACACAUGCAAGUCGAGGGGUAACGAGAGGAAAGCUUGCUUUCCUUGUCGACGACCGGCGCACGGGUGAGUAACGCGUAUCCAACCUGCCCCCAACUAAGGAAUAACCUUGCGAAAGUAAGACUAAUACCUUAUAAUUUCCUCAGAUGACAUCUGACGAGGAAUAAAGAUUUAUCGGUUGUGGAUGGGGAUGCGUCUGAUUAGCUUGUUGGCGGGGUAACGGCCCACCAAGGCAACGAUCAGUAGGGGUUCUGAGAGGAAGGUCCCCCACAUUGGAACUGAGACACGGUCCAAACUCCUACGGGAGGCAGCAGUGAGGAAUAUUGGUCAAUGGGCGGAAGCCUGAACCAGCCAAGUAGCGUGCAGGAUGACGGCCCUAUGGGUUGUAAACUGCUUUUAUACAGGAAUAAAGUUAGCCACGUGUGGUUAUUUGUAGGUACUGUAUGAAUAAGGACCGGCUAAUUCCGUGCCAGCCGCCGCCGUAA